rnacentral:rRNA from 1 species
CGGGUGAGUAACGCGUGGUCAACCUACCGUUGAGUGGGGGAUAGCUAGCCGAAAGGUUAGCUAAUACCGCAUACGUCUCCGAGGGGCAUCCCUUGGCGAUAAAAGGAGCAAUCCGCUCGAUGACGGGACCGCGUCCCAUUAGCUAGAUGGUGGGGUAACGGCCUACCAUGGCACCGAUGGGUAGCUGGUUUGAGAGAGCGACCAGCCACACUGGGACUGAGAAACGGCCCAG